UAUGGGUGUGCCAGCAGCCGCGGUAAUACGUAUGGUGCAAGCGUUAUCCGGAUUUACUGGGUGUAAAGGGAGCGCAGGCGGUGCGGCAAGUCUGAUGUGAAAGCCCGGGGCUCAACCCCGGUACUGCAUUGGAAACUGUCGUACUAGAGUGUCGGAGGGGUAAGCGGAAUUCCUAGUGUAGCGGUGAAAUGCGUAGAUAUUAGGAGGAACACCAGUGGCGAAGGCGGCUUACUGGACGAUAACUGACGCUGAGGCUCGAAAGCGUGGGGAGCAAACAGG
rnacentral:rRNA from 1 species